AUUGAACGCUGGCGGCAUGCUUUACACAUGCAAGUCGAACGGCAGCGCGGGCUUCGGCCUGGCGGCGCGUGGCGAACGGGUGAGUAAUGCAUCGGAACGUGCCCAGUAGUGGGGGAUAGCCCGGCGAAAGCCGGAUUAAUACCGCAUCCGACCUGAGGGUGAACGCGGGGGACCGAUAGGCCUCGCGCUAUUGGAGCGGCCGAUGUCGGAUGAGCUAGUUGGUGGGGUAAAGGCUUACCAAGGCGACGAACCGUAGCUGGUCUGCGAGGACGACCAGCCACAAUGGGACUGAGACACGGCCCAGACGCCUACGGGAGGCAGCAGUGGGGAAUUUUGGACAAUGGGGGCAAGCCUGAUCCAGCCAUGCCGGGUGCGGGAUGACGGCCUUCGGGUUGUAAACCGCUUUCGCCGGUGACGAAGCGUGAGUGACGGUAAUGGGUAAAGAAGCACCGGCUAACUACGUG
rnacentral:rRNA from 1 species